GACGAACGCUGGCGGCGUGCUUAACACAUGCAAGUCGAACGGAAAGGCCCUGCUUUUGUGGGGUGCUCGAGUGGCGAACGGGUGAGUAACGCGUGAGUAACCUGCCCUUGACUUUGGGAUAACUUCAGGAAACUGGGGCUAAUACCGGAUAGGAGCUCCUGCUGCAUGGUGGGGGUUGGAAAGUUUCGGCGGUUGGGGAUGGACUCGCGGCUUAUCAGCUUGUUGGUGGGGUAGUGGCUUACCAAGGCUUUGACGGGUAGCCGGCCUGAGAGGGUGACCGGCCACAUGGGGACUGAGAUACGGCCCAGACUACUACGGGAGGCAGCAGUGGGGAAUAUUGCACAAUGGGCGGAAGCCUGAUGCAGCAACGCCGCGUGCGGGAUGACGGCCUUCGGGUUGUAAACCGCUUUCGCCUGUGACGAAGCGUGAGUGACGGUAAUGGGUAAAGAAGCACCGGCUAACUACGU
rnacentral:rRNA from 1 species